rnacentral:lncRNA from 1 species
GUAAACAGGAAAACAAACUGUUCCUUGUGUUCCCAUUUCAAAAGAUUCUCAAAAAAAAAAAAGUUUUAUUUUUUCUUGUUAUCAGCAGCUCCAAUUAAUAUGGUGUUUCCUUAAAUAGUUUCUAUUUAUGGAUAAGUAGUCAAUGAUUAGCUUUCUUGGUUUCUUACCUUCAAAGUUUCCAGCUUUAUAGUUUUGAUCUUUGGGCUAUGUGAUUAUUGACUUGAGUUUGUAUUUUGUAUUCUAGGGUUAUUGGGGUGAAAUGAAAGUGCAGUCAACUAAGUGGAAAUGAAGUGAAUUUCAAGUAGAAUUCUGUUUUUAAUGAUUUUUCUGGUAAGGGGUUGGUGAAGUUUAGGUUCAGUUUAUUUUCAUAUCUAUUUCCAGGUAUAUUUGCUUUCAAUUUUAUUAUACACUAGUGUGAAACUGUGUGUAUGUAGAAAUAUGUACAUUUAUGUGUGAGGGGUUAAACAAUAUGUUAGUGAAAAGGCUUAUAGGGAAAUGAAAUAACUUCUUGUUCUGACUAUUACUUUUUAUGAUUCUUGAGUGUGUAUGUAGAAAUAGGUACACUUAUGUGAGGGGUUGAACAGUAUGUUAGUGGAAAGGCUUAGAGGGAAGUGAAAUAACUUGUUGAUCUGACUAUUAUCUUUUGUGAUUCUUGAAUAGCAGAGUGAUUUUUGAAGUUGGAUUGGAGACUAUUAUUUUUAGUGAAAUGGGGAGUAAUUUUAAUUUCAAGAACUUUGGAAAUGAGCCACCUGGGGAGGGUGGAAGUGGUGUUGGUGGAAAGCAGCCUGCGAUAUUUCAGUUGCCGCGACAGCCAUCUAUCUAUUCGUUAACGUUCGAUGAUCACCUAGGGAGGGUGGAAGUGGUGUUGGUGGAAAGCAGCCUGGGAUAUUUCAGUUGCCGCGGCAGCCAUCUAUCUAUUCGUUAACGUUCGAUGAGUUUUUGAGCACGACGGGAGGGAGUGGAAAGGAUUUUGGUUCAAUGAAUAUUGGAUGAGUUGCUAAAGAAUAUAUGGAAUGCUGAGGAAAGUGAAACAAUG